rnacentral:rRNA from 1 species
UACCGGAUGUGCUGCNCGGCCUCAAGGCCAUGCAGCAAAGGAAGCUUCGGCCUCCGCAUCGGGAGCGGCCCGCGGCCCAUUAGCUUGUUGGUGAGGUAACGGCUCACCAAGGCAACGAUGGGUAGCUGGUCUGAGAGGCGAUCAGCCACACUGGGACUGCGUCCGGCCCAGUCUCCUACGGGAGGCAGCAGUGGGGAAUCUUGCGCAAUGCGCGAAAGCGUGACGCAGCCACGCCGCGUGAGGGAAGUCGGCCUUCGGGUUGUGAACCUCUUUCAGUAGGGACGCAAGGUUCCGGCGCGAACAGCGUCCUGGACUGCGG